rnacentral:lncRNA from 1 species
CCAUACAUACACACCAAUUUCUCUACUUUACAUUAUUUCAUUACACACGCACCCUAUAGAAGAAUAUAGAUACAUUCAUUCAUUCAUUUGACAUUUCUAUUUUCUGCUUCCCUAUAUAUACUUUAUACAAUACUCGUAAUAAUUAAUUAAUUUAUAGUUGAACAUCAUACAUAAUAUAUAUAUAUACACACACACAUAGAAUCUAACCUCUCAAGUAGUUCCACCAUGACAUCAACCAGUUGCUGCCUCCGUCUUUACCCUACAACUUCAAACGCUUCUCUCAUCCCUAAAAACUCACCUCAACUUUCCUCGUAAGUUUUUAUUUAUUUUUAAUUUAAUGCUUAUUUAUAUUGGAUCACAAUUAAUUAGUAGAUCAUAUGAUCAUGUCUAUUAAGUUGAUUAGU